AUCUGAGCCACCUGAGUAUCAGCUAUUGGUUUAGUGUGCUAGAGUCCUUGAAGAGUAACUGCUGACCUUAAUCACUGGCUUGGCGUAGUCAGUCACCAGGCUAGUGACAUGC
rnacentral:snoRNA from 1 species